GAUGAACGCUGGCGGCGUGCCUAAUACAUGCAAGUCGAGCGAACGGACGAGAAGCUUGCUUCUCUGAUGUUAGCGGCGGACGGGUGAGUAACACGUGGAUAACCUACCUAUAAGACUGGGAUAACUUCGGGAAACCGGAUCUAAUACCGGAUAAUAUUUUGAACCGCAUUGUUCAAAAGUGAAAGACGGUCUUGCUGUCACUUAUAGAUGGAUCCGCGCUGCAUUAGCUAGUUGGUAAGGUAACGGCUUACCAAGGCAACGAUGCAUAGCCGACCUGAGAGGGUGAUCGGCCACCCUGGAACUGAGACACGGUCCAGACUCCUACGGGAGGCAGCAGCAGGGACUAUUCCGAAAUGGGAGGAAGCCUGAAGGAGCAACGCGGAGUGAGUGAUGAAGGUCUUAGGAUCGUAAAACUCUGUUAUUAGGGAAGAACAUAUGUGUAAGUAACUGAGAACAUCUUGACGGUACCUAAUCAGAAAGCCACGGCUAACUACGUG
rnacentral:rRNA from 1 species